rnacentral:tRNA from 1 species
GCUGGUGUAGCUCAAUUGGUAGAGCACUCGAUUUGUAAUCGAGCGGUUGGGGGUUCAAUUCCUCUCGCCAGCACCA